UCCGGUUUGAAACCGGCGGUCCCGGUAGACAUAGUAACUACCAGCGAGGGUUGCGCUCGUUGCGGGACUUAACCCAACACCUCACGGCACGAGCUGACGACAGCCAUGCAGCACCUGUGCACGGACUCCGAAGAGGGCACCGCGUUUCUGCGGGCUUUCCCGUGUAUGUCAAGCCUAGGUAAGGUUCUUCGCGUUGCGUCGAAUUAAACCACACGCUCCGCUGCUUGUGCGGGCCCCCGCCUAUUCCUUUGAGUUUUAACCUUGCGGCCGUAGUCCCCAGGCGGUGAACUUAAUGCGUUAGCUGCGGCACUGAUCGGGUCAAUCCGACCAACACCUAGUUCACAACGUUUAGGGCGUGGACUAC
rnacentral:misc_RNA from 1 species